AACGAACACAAACAUUAUUUAACAAUAACAGCCACUCGGGGCAGUAUUGCAAUAGUAGUAGUGGGCUCUAACGUGCCAAAGAAGAAGAAGUGAUGUCAACGUCACUGUAACAUGUAAACAAACAACACAACUGAAAGAGCCAGGCGGGUGCCCACCUGUUAUAUGAAGUUAUAAUAAACACAAAAGAGAGUGUCAACAACAUCUCAGCAGUCAUGACACGUCACGUGAACAGUUCUCUGUUUCUAGAGAAGAUGAGAAAAAUAAAAAACGAGAAGAGAGGAAACCGAGGAGAAAGUCACUUAGCUGCACCAUCGAAGUGGAUCAACAUGCUACCAUUAGCAGCAGCCUCAUCUCUGGGGAUGUUCGUCACCCAGGAGAGUUUGAGGUAGACAUGAAGAUUGCCUCCGCGUCUUUGUGGACUGGUUAACUGCAGGUUGUCAGAGAUCAGCUGUUCUGCUCUGGCCUCAGCUCUGAAGUCCAACAUCCAUCUGAGAGAUCUGGACCUGAGAGGCAGCAGCACUCUGCAGGCUACAGGAGAGAAGCUGCUGAGAGAUCUUCUGGAGAGUCCAGACUGCAGACUGGAGACUCUCAGGUCAGUGAGGGGUCUCUGCUGGUUCAGCAGUAUUGUAUGAAACUCAUGGAGGUGUUUCUCUCACUGGGGAAACAGAUCAGUGAUGUUACCCACUGACUGCAGGCUCCUUCAUUCUUCCAUCAACUACAGAAGGCCAGCUGAAAAAGCAAAGCCAUACUUUAGUAAUCAACUCUAACACAGUGGUUCUCAAACUUUUUUCAAUAAUGUUCCCCCUUGGUUCCCCGCCUGAUCAGCGCAAACACAAUUGUUAGGGAAUAAAUGCUUAUAUAAAGAGGUACAGUACAGCGCUGCACCAUCCGUGUCUGAUUUAUUAAAACAACAACAUUGUAACUGAGAAACACUUAAAUGCUACAUUUCAAAUGUUUACAAUCCAUCACUA